UACGGAGGAUGCAAGCGUUAUCCGGAUUUAUUGGGUUUAAAGGGUGCGUAGGCUGUUCGACAAGUCAGGGGUGAAAGACCGGCGCCUAACGCCGGAGGUGCCUUUGAUACUGCCGAGCUGGAAUACGGAUGCCGUGGGAGGAAUGAGUAGUGUAGCGGUGAAAUGCAUAGAUAUUACUCGGAACACCGAUUGUGAAGGCAUCUCACGAAACAGGCAUUGACGCUGAGGCACGAAAGCGUGGGGAUCAAAC
rnacentral:rRNA from 1 species